GAUCAUGGCUCAGAUUGAACGCUGGCGGUACGCUUAACACAUGCAUGUCGAACGGUAGCAGGCCUUCGGGCGCUGACGAGUGGCGGACGGGUGAGUAACGCGUAGGAAUCUGCCUCAUAGUGGGGGACAACGUGUGGAAACGCACGCUAAUACCGCAUACGCCCUACGGGGGAAAGCGGGGGAUCUUCGGACCUCGCGCUAUGAGAUGAGCCUGCGUUGGAUUAGCUAGUUGGUAGGGUAAAGGCCUACCAAGGCGACGAUCCAUAGCUGGUCUGAGAGGACGAUCAGCCACACUGAGACUGAGACACGGCCCAGACUCCUACGGGAGGCAGCAGUGGGGAAUAUUGGACAAUGGGCGCAAGCCUGAUCCAGCAAUACCGCGUGUGUGAAGAAGGCCUUAGGGUUGUAAAGCACUUUCAAUGGGGAGGAAAACCUGCCGGUCAAUACCCGGUAGCUUGACAUUACCUUUAGAAGAAGCACCGGCUAACUCCGUGCCAGCAGCCGCGGUAAUACGGAGGGUGCGAGCGUUAAUCGGAAUUACUGGGCGUAAAGCGUGCGUAGGCGGUCCGUUAAGUCAGAUGUGAAAGCCCCGGGCUCAACCUGGGAACUGCAUUUGAAACUGGCGGACUAGAGUUUAGUACAGGGGAGUGGAAUUUCAGGUGUAGCGGUGAAAUGCGUAGAUAUCUGAAGGAACACCAGUGGCGAAGGCGACUCCCUGGACUAGAACUGACGCUGAGGUACGAAAGCGUGGGUAGCAAACAGGAUUAGAUACCCUGGUAGCCCACGCCGUAAACGAUGUCAACUAGCCGUUGGCCCUAUUUACAGGGUUAGUGGCGCAGCUAACGCAUUAAGUUGACCGCCUGGGGAGUACGGCCGCAAGGUUAAAACUCAAAUGAAUUGACGGGGGCCCGCACAAGCGGUGGAGCAUGUGGUUUAAUUCGAUGCAACGCGAAGAACCUUACCUACCCUUGACAUCCAGAGAAUCUGUUAGAGAUAGUAGAGUGCCUUCGGGAGCUCUGAGACAGGUGCUGCAUGGCUGUCGUCAGCUCGUGUCGUGAGAUGUUGGGUUAAGUCCCGUAACGAGCGCAACCCUUGUCCUUAGUUGCCAGCGGGUCAAGCCGGGAACUCUAGGGAGACUGCCGGUGAUAAACCGGAGGAAGGUGGGGACGACGUCAAGUCAUCAUGGCCCUUAUGGGUAGGGCUACACACGUGCUACAAUGGCCGGUACAGAGGGCUGCGAACUUGCGAAAGUAAGCGAAUCCCAGAAAGCCGGUCUUAGUCCGGAUUGGAGUCUGCAACUCGACUCCAUGAAGUCGGAAUCGCUAGUAAUCGCGAAUCAGAAUGUCGCGGUGAAUACGUUCCCGGGCCUUGUACACACCGCCCGUCACACCAUGGGAGUGGGUUGCAAAAGAAGUGGGUAGUCUAACCUCCGGGAGGGCGCUCACCACUUUGUGAUUCAUGACUGGGGUGAAGUCGUAACAAGGUA
rnacentral:rRNA from 1 species